GUAUUUCCUGCCAUUUUAACUGGGAACGUCGUCUUUGGCUUCUUCGCAUCCCAGCGAUUUGGGGCUGAUUUGAUGGGUCUUUGGGCUGUGAAUUCCCAAGCUUCCUUAACUAUGGAAUUUCGGUUCUCCAUAAUUUGGUCCAGUCCUUUUGGGCCCAAUACCCUAAUUUCAGCCCUUAUUUUUGGCUUAAGCCUAUUAACGAACGUACUUUUCAGGACCUCAUAUGGUAUCUCCUUCAAUGGUGCGGCUAACACUUCGAACUCCCAUCGAAAUUCUGCUACAGUGUCCCUUUGUCCUUUGACGAGAAAUUUUUCACACAUACUCCCCUCCUAUGUUGAUCGGAAUCGCAGCAGCAGUUGGUGCCUGAACUUUUGCCAAUUUUGGAACGGCAUUCUCGCCUCUAUCCAUUGAAGCCAUGAAAGCGCGUCACCAUCAAGACUUACCCCUACCGCCCCUAAUUUCUGCUGCUCGGUCAACCCAUUAAUAUCGAAAUAUCUCUCAGCAUGGAAUAACCAUCCAUCCGGGUCCGUCCCACUGAAAAUGGGCAUUUUGAUUUUUCGUAUUUUUCUCCAAUUAUCUCCUCCUUUGUAUUGGUCGGCAGUGACAAUACCUCCCCUGAAAUUAGCUUCACCCGACCCCUCCGACCAUUUGCCAUGAUCCAGGCUGCGUUGAUCACCAAUGUUUGCCAGUUGUUUAUUUUGUAGCAGGAUCCCUGGUAAUGUCGCUUGAUCCAUCCUUUUCUAUAUUUCUACUUUCCCCAACUUUUGAAUUUGCCAUUGUAGCCACCGCCUUCCUAGUUCCUUCUAUGGAUUGUAGUACUAUAGCCAAGCUUUGGGUUAAUUGUUCCACUGAUUCUGCUAGGCCUGGAAGUUGCUGCAUCUCCACCUUCAUUUUUUCAACAUCUCUCUCCACUGCUUCUACCCUGCCUUCCGUUUUUUUGGGGCCAUCAGGACGUUGAUGUUCAGAUACCAAUUUGAUGGGAAACCACUGAAAGAGAUGAAAAUUCUGAGGAUUUUAUUAUAAUGCUGAAUGUAAACGCAGAGAAAUGAAAUACAGGAAAGUAACCAGACUUUUUCUACUCAAUGAUUGCCUGCCUAUCUCCUACUUCUUCCCCCUAUUUAUAACCCGUAUCUAACAUAUUUACUCCCCUACCCCAACAUGCUUUUGUAACAGAAUUUAGUUAAGCUUGUCUUCCAGCUAAAUCUCCACCCUUCUUGAAUCUUCUAGAGUAGGUGAAGAGGAUGGUCAAUCUGCAGCCUACACAUUGGUUAACAAGUUGGA
rnacentral:lncRNA from 1 species